CGCAUUGCAGUAGAUUGGGAUACUCUUCAAAUCAUACUGAAAUACCGAGAAAAACUUACAUGCCAAUGGCGGGCCCCGCCUUCGGGUAGUCAUCACUUUGGUGGCCAGGGGAUUACAGCGGCAUGGAAGUCCUCAAACCCUGUUUUUAUCGGAGUUUCAUCACAUCCUGUGGUGCGGCUUUUU
rnacentral:sRNA from 1 species